ACGUCUUGUGGGUGACAGUGGAAAGAGGAUGAUGGAGAAGGUGGUGGAGGCUAACAUCCAGGCUACGACCGAUGAGAUCCAAGCUCUGUACAACAGCAGCGGACCAGAGAAGCCCAUCUCUCUCAGAACCACCUGGAGGACGUGAUUGGGCUACAGACGUAAUAGACAGCACCCUCGUCAGCCACAGACAACAGUCACUCUGGUCAAGGUCCAAAUUCUCGGAGCUCUAUGAAUAGCAUUUGCAAGGACGACACGGGAAAAGAAACGUCUGUGCAGGGAUACACGUGUACAGGACAGCUAAGGUGAAACGCAAAAGCAGACUUUCUUUGAAGCGCAUCAUUAAAAUGGCAGGUUUGCCCUUCUCAGGGAUAUUUAUGUUUCUUAUUCAUAUAUUAUAUUUAGACUUACUGUAUCUUGGAACCAAUAGACCUGAGAUUAUGGACCUGUGGUACUGAUGAUAAUGGCUGCUCAAUUUAUCUUCUGCUAAAGUCCAUAGUCUAAUCUGUGACAUGGUGAAACUAAGAAGAUUACUAACUUAAAAAAAAAAUGGUAUAAGGAAUCUUUGGGGUGAAAACCAAUUGCGUUCUUUUAGUUACACUUAAUUUAACAUGACUGCACUGUCGUUCCCUCACCUUCAAGUCUAAGGAAUUCAAUAAAGAGAAUAUUGUACAACUAUACCAGACAAUAAUACGACUGUAGUUUAAAGUGUAAAGCCUGUGACUCAGUGUUUAUACCAUCAAUAUACAGCACUAAAGACUAAGACACAUUAAGUGCAGUAAGUCAAUUCAUAUUUUAUGUUCCCUUUGAUUCUCAGUUUACAGUCGUUCGUUAUACAGUAUUUUCAUCCUGUUACUGUUAUUGUAGUGGAAGUGGAAGUAGCUAAAUGAAUAUAGGACAGUUCUUCUUUAAGUUCACAGUCAACAGAGAAAUAAAUGAUAAAAGUUAAACAACCAGGAGGAAUGAAAAUCCAAAUAGAAAGAGGCAAACAAUGAGUUGCUGCUUCGUGUAGUGUUUGUUGGUGAUUUGAUUUGAUGUGAUCAGUAUUUGCAGCAUAAUUCAGUAUAAGAGUUGCUGGAAUUUUCCUUUAGCUGCACUGACAAUAGUCUGCAAUGAUCGUGUGUGUGUACUAAUUAACAAACUGAUGAGCCUGCACCUGGUGGAUUGUAGAUGCUGUGAUUGGAUAACGAGGCGCAGCCGUGCUCUUUAGAAGCCGAAGGAAGCGGUAGUACCCUCCGGCCGCUGAUGGUUGCAAGAUGACCCUGUGUCAAGGAGUAGCAGCCGACCGGUGGACACCACGACGCCAAGAAGUCCGAAGCAUCUGGUUUCUGUUACGUAGACGACAUCGUCCUGGCCAUGCUGCUAAAUAAGACGCUUGGGAUUGGAUAACGAGGCGCAGCCGUGCAGAAAGGACGCAGUAACACUUUCCGGUGCGGUGAUGGUUGCAAGAUGGAGCUGUGUGAAGACAGAGAAAAAGUUUUACGGAUUCGGUUGGGAAAUAGAAGAUUUCAUUAAAGGACAAGAAAAGUCAAGCCUUGUGGUUUUCUGAAAUAUUCUAUCCGUUAUCUGACUGUCUAGCUUUGCAUAAGUACACGCACUGCGAGGGCAGUACAAUGACCCACGGAGCCAUCUUUAAACCGGCCACAGGAAGUAUAGCCUGUGAGGAGGAGGAGGUGGAGGUUACAGGCAUGCUGCCAGCUUGGUGAAAAAAGGAAGCAGAAGAGAGGUAACCUUUGGAUGAUUGACUGCAGCCAGAACAAGUAGUGUUGUUGCAUUUACUUUUUGUCUUUGCAGAAGAGGAGGAAGAGACGAACCUUUGAAUCCUGUGAGCAGAUGGGUGACAGAAGUAGUGUGAGUAUGGAAUCAUGUAUUGUUUUAAAUGUGUAUCUAUGGCCUUUGUGAUUGAUUGCAUGUUUUGCAAUAUUUGCAAUAUAAAUAUCUGCAUGAAGACCGUUUGGUUUGAGUGGUCCAAAUAUUUUGGGUGUUGCGACUUUAGCCACGUGUGUUGGCGAAAAUGCUGCGGCUUGUUCCUCACAGAACAAGCCGGUUAACAGUGCAUUGUAAAAAUGAGAUACCUAUGAAGAAGACGGCACAUUAUUAUCGAGGGUACGAAUUUACACGUUUUCAUUAUUUAAGCGUGUGCGUGCACUCAUGCACGUAUGAAAUUGAUUAAUUAAAUCUUUUCAGGUGUAGCAGCAGAACGCUGGACUUCACCACGCCAAGAAGUCCGAAGCAUCUGGUUUCUGUUACGGGAACGACAUGGUGCUGGCCAUUUUUCUCAAGGCAUCGGAGGCUGGAAAGGGCAAAUACUACGCACAUGACCCACAAAGCCAUCUUUAAACCGGCCACAGGAAGUUCAAGCCCAUGACCAAGGAAUAGCCUGUGAGGAGGAGGUUGCAGGCAUGCUGCCAGCUUUCUGAAGAGAAGCAGAAGAGAGGUAACCUUUGGAUGAUUCACUGCAGCCAGAACAGAGUUGUUGCAUUUACUUUGUCGCAGAAGAGGAGGAAGAGACGAACCUUUGAAUC